rnacentral:rRNA from 1 species
GAUGAACGCUGGCGGCGUGCCUAAUACAUGCAAGUCGAGCGAACAGACGAGGAGCUUGCUCCUCUGACGUUAGCGGCGGACGGGUGAGUAACACGUGGAUAACCUACCUAUAAGACUGGGAUAACUUCGGGAAACCGGAGCUAAUACCGGAUAAUAUAUUGAACCGCAGGGUUCAAUAGUGAAAGACGGUUUUGCUGUCACUUAUAGAUGGAUCCGCGCCGCAUUAGCUAGUUGGUAAGGUAACGGCUUACCAAGGCAACGAUGCGUAGCCGAGCUGAGAGAGUGAUCGGCCACACUGGAACUGAGACACGGUCCAGACUCCUACGGGAGGCAGCAGUAGGGAAUCUUACGCAAUGGGCGAAAGCCUGACGGAGCAACGCCGCGUGAGUGAUGAAGGUCUUCGGAUCGUAAAACUCUGUUAUUAGGGAAGAACAAAUGUGUAAGUAACUAUGCACGUCUUGACGGUACCUAAUCAGAAAGCCACGGCUAACUACGUG